GGGACUUGACGGUACCCCACAUCCACCUAGAGGAGCCUGUCCUAUAAUCGAUAACCCCCGCUUAACCUCACCAUUUUUAGCUUAUCAGCCUGUAUACCUCCGUCGUCAGCUUACCACGUGAGCGCCUACUAGUGAGCUUAAUGCCCCUACGCCAACACGUCAGGUCAAGGUGCAGCAUAUAAAAUGGGAAGAGAUGGGCUACACUAUCUAGCAUAGAUUACACGAAAGACUAUAUAUGAAACCUAGUCCAAAGGCGGAUUUAGAAGUAAAGAAAGACCAAAGUGCUUCCUUUAACUCGGCACUGGGGUGUGUACACACCGCCCGUCACCCUCUUCAAAGCUUCAACGUAGUCUAUAACUCCCCUUAGCACACCAGAAGAGGCAAGUCGUAACAUGGUAAGUAUACCGGAAGGUGUGCUUGGAAA
rnacentral:rRNA from 1 species